GCGGAGGAAAAGAAACUAACAAGGAUUCCCUUAGUAACGGCGAGUGAACCGGGAAAAGCUCAAAUUUGAAAUCUGGCUGUCUUCGAUAGUCCGAGUUGUAAUCUAUAGACGUGUUUUCCGUGCUGGACCGUAUCUAAGUCCCUUGGAACAGGGUAUCAAAGAGGGUGACAAUCCCGUGCUUGAUACGACCACCAGUGCUCUGUGAUACACGCUCUACGAGUCGAGUUGUUUGGGAAUGCAGCUCAAAAUGGGUGGUAAAUUCCAUCUAAAGCUAAAUAUUGGCGAGAGACCGAUAGCGAACAAGUACCGUGAGGGAAAGAUGAAAAGCACUUUGGAAAGAGAGUUAAACAGUACGUGAAAUUGUUGAAAGGGAAACGAUUGAAGUCAGUCGUGUUCUUCAGAUUCAGCUGGUUCUUCCAGUCUACUUCUGUUGAACGGGUCAACAUCAGUUUUGUCCGGUGGAUAAAGGUAGUAGGAAUGUGACUUCUCCGGAAGUGUUAUAGCCUAUUAUUGCAUACACUGGGUGAGACUGAGGACUGCAGCUCGCCUUUUGGCCGGCCCUCGGGCACGUUCGAGCUUAGGAUGUUGACAUAAUGGCUUUAAACGACCCGUCUUG
rnacentral:rRNA from 1 species